rnacentral:lncRNA from 1 species
GUGUUAUAUGACGGAGCCACGAGAGACGCUCGUGCUAGUAAGAUUUGAAGACUCCGUAUAUCACAAAGUAUUUUACUGGCUCGUAGGCUCCUGACUACAGAUAAUCUUCUAAAGAGAGGAUGGACUGAUAACACGAUAUGUGUGCUAUGUGGGACAGAGGAGGAAACUAUUGACCACUUAUUUACUCGAUGCGUGUUUCCAAGCUUUCUAAUGGCAAUGACUUUGGAGAAUGUUUAGUAAGUGAUUUGGUUGAUGACGUGACUUUGGUCUAGGAUAGAUGGACGAGCAGGAAAGGCUCGCUAUCUUUAAGCUCCGAGCCAAUCGAUUUAAUAGCCAGUUGGUGGGUCAUUUGGAAAAUUAGGAACGGUACAAUUUUCAGAUUGAUCAAGCCAGGUCCCUUUCUAGGAAUCCGUAAGAUUGAACAGCUUACGAAUCAAUGGGUGGAAUUUCUUUCAGGAGAUUAGUGUGUUUUUUUUCCGUCCCGUUCGAGGCCCUUGUUGUUUCAUCCCUGUAGCUUAGUUCACUUUUCCAAUAAAUGAAGCGGGUAGCAUUCUACCUUUUUCUCUUAAAAAAAAA